UCGCACCUACCGAUUGGAUGGUCCGGUGAAGCCUCGGGAUUAUGAUGGCUGCCUUUAUUGGUGUCUGUUGUGAGAACUUGUCUAAACCUUAUCAUCUAGAGGAAGGUG
rnacentral:rRNA from 1 species